rnacentral:rRNA from 1 species
GACGGGACCCGCACAAGCAGCGGAGCGUGUGGUUUAAUUCGAUGCUACACGAAGAACCUUACCAGGGUUUGACAUGCAAGUGGUAGGAAACUGAAAGGACGACCUUCGGGAGCUUGCACAGGUGCUGCAUGGCUGUCGUCAGCUCGUGUCGUGAGAUGUUCGGUUAAGUCCGCUAACGAGCGCAACCCUCACUGUGUGUUAUAUGUGUCACACGGGACUGCCGGUUUUAAGCCGGAGGAAGGUGGGGAUGACGUCAAGUCAGCAUGGCCUUUAUAUCCUGGGCUACACACACGCUACAAUGGUCGGUACAAUAGGUUGCCAAGCCGCGAGGCGGAGCCAAUCCAAAAAAGCCGGCCUCAGUUCAGAUUGUAGGCUGCAACUCGCCUGCAUGAAGAUGGAGUUGCUAGUAACCGCAGGUCAGCAAUACUGCGGUGAAUACGUUCCCGGGUCUU